rnacentral:misc_RNA from 1 species
AAGUCGUAACAAGGUUUCCGUAGGUGACAUUAACACGUAUCCAACGUUAAACAACCUUAAGUCCCCUCUUGCAGCCCAUGAGGAACAGCAAUCCCGGUAAAUCAUUGCCAAACAGUUUUGAUUCGGGACCUCUGUCCACAAGGAGUUGCAGGAAGCAGUGGCAUGGCUUCCCCAAGCAGUUAGUGAUUGACGUCACAGGGUCACCACGCCCCUUAAGCACUCCACUUGAAAAUGCCCCAGUGGUAACGCGCUAGGUAAAAAAAACCGAACAACUGUUAACAAUGGAUAUCUUGGUUCUC